rnacentral:rRNA from 1 species
UACGUAGGGGGCAAGCGUUGUCCGGAUUUACUGGGCGUAAAGAGCGCGUAGGCGGAGAUCUAAGCGUGGCCUGAAAGCCCCCGGCUCAACCGGGGAAGGUGGCUGCGAACUGGGUUUCUUGAGGACGAUAGAGGAGAGUGGAAUUCCUGGUGUAGCGGUGAAAUGCGUAGAUAUCAGGAGGAACACCCGAGGCGAAGGCGGCUCUCUGGGUCGUACCUGACGCUGAGGCGCGAAAGCGUGGGGAGCGAACGGG